UACGAAGGGGGCUAGCGUUGCUCGGAAUCACUGGGCGUAAAGGGUGCGUAGGCGGGUCUUUAAGUCAGGGGUGAAAUCCUGGAGCUCAACUCCAGAACUGCCUUCGAUACUGUAGAGCUUGAGACCGGAAGAGGUAAGUGGAACUGCGAGUGUAGAGGUGAAAUUCGUAGAUAUUCGCAAGAACACCAGUGGCGAAGGCAGGCCUUACGUGGUCCGGUUCUGGACGCUGAGGCGCGAAAGCGUGG
rnacentral:rRNA from 1 species